GAUGAACGCUAGCGGCAGGCUUAAUACAUGCAAGUCGAGGGGCAGCAGGUCCCGCAGCAAUGCGGGAUGCUGGCGACCGGCAAACGGGUGCGGAACACGUACAGAACCUUCCUUUAAGUGGGGAAUAGCCCGGGGAAACCCGGAUUAAUACCCCGUAACAUAAUGAAGUGGCAUCACUUUAUUAUCAUAGCAGCAAUGCGCUUGAAGAUGGGUGUGCGGCUGAUUAGGUAGUUGGCGGGGUAACGGCCCACCAAGCCUACGAUCAGUAACUGGUGUGAGAGCACGACCAGUCACACGGGCACUGAGACACGGGCCCGACUCCUACGGGAGGCAGCAGUAAGGAAUAUUGGGCAAUGGACGCAAGUCUGACCCAGCCAUGCCGCGUGGAGGAUGAAGGUCCUCUGGAUUGUAAACUUCUUUUAUCUGGGAAGAAAUCAAUUUUUUCUAAAGUAGUUGACGGUACCAGAUGAAUAAGCACCGGCUAACUCCGUGCCAGCCGCCGCCGUAA
rnacentral:rRNA from 1 species